rnacentral:lncRNA from 1 species
GGGAAGUAAGGGAUAGGGGUCAGGAAGGGAAAAGCUCUCCCUCUCUUUUAGUAUUCGUCUGUCUCUGCCUUUUUGUCUCUGUCUCUUUGUCUCUAUAUCUCUCUAUUUUUGUUUGUCUUUGUCUCUUUCUUCUCUUUGUCUCCCUCUCUGUCUUUGUGUCUCUCUGUCUCAGUCUCUCUGUCACUAUCUCUUUCUGCCUGCCUGCCUAUAUGUCCACUUGUCUGUCUGUCUGUCUCUCUCUCUUGAUAUCUGUCUAUCUAUAUUUCUGCCUUUUCGUUUCUGUCUCUUUUGCCAGUUUCUCUAUCUAUUUCUGUCUCUCUCCUCUGUUGCUUAAUAUUUGUCUGUCUCUACCUUUUUGUCUGUCUCUAUCUCUGCUUGCCUCUGUAUCUAUAUUUGUCUCUGUCUUUCUGUUUAUUUCACCCUCUCUCUGUCUCUUUGUCUCCCUGUCUCUCUCUCUCUCUCUCUCUCUCUCUCUCUCUCUCUCUCUGUCAAUGUCUCUCUCUUGAUACCUGUUUUUCUAUAUCUCUUCCUUUUUGCCUCUAUCUCUGUUUUUCUCUCUGAUUGUCUCCAUCUCUUUGUCUUUGUCUCUCUGUCUCUGUUUCUUUGUCUUCCUGUGUUUCUGUUUCUGUCAUACACACAUCCAUAAUCAAAAAGCUGUUUGAAGAGUUCCAUUUAUGGGAUGGCUGGGUGGGGGGGGGACUUUGGAAAUGGAAUAGACACACUGGAACUUUCUGGUAGUUGAUGGCAAACAUUGUGUUGUAUGUAUCUAAGAGGUGGAAGUUCCACAGAGGCAGAAGAUGCCAUUCGUGGUUGUCAGACAAGAAGAACAGGGACUUAAGAGGAAUGUGGGUGCCAGGAGAGGGAUGCUGGUCUAUCAGCCAUGGGGGUGGGGAGGGAACUAAAGACUGGUGCAAAGUGGUCCAUGAAAUGGAAAACAUUCACCUGCGGAAGGAAAGGGCAGCUAGCUCAUGAGAUAAAAGAGGAAGAAAGACAUGAGUGUUGUAAUGGGGAAAUGCUGAAGCAAUCUCCUCUGAGGAAGACUCCCGAGUGCCUGGGCUCUGAUUGGCCAGUGACAUCUAGACAGGAAGCCACAGGGCUUCUGCAUCCUUCCUAUAGUACUUACUCAGGCCUCACUUUUAACCAGAGGCUUCUGAAGGUUCCUCCAGGGCCAGAGGGCAAAAUAAAAUCACCAAGUCUGUCAUUCCAGGAAGAAAGUCAAAGCCUGAUCCCUGCAGCAGCUCACAUUCUGAGGAAGAUCUUAUGCAGGUGAGAAGGUGGUCUCAAAAGGAAGGAACAAGAGGGCUGGAGGGGGUAGGAGAGGCCUCUUGCAGAAGGUUAGAGUUGAACUGAGUCCAGAAGAAAGAUGAGGCGAAGAGGAGGAGUAUUCCAAGAAGGAGUGACAGCUAGUGAAAAGGUAUUGAGUCAGGGUAUGGAAUUUGGGUCAGGAGGAACAGCACACAGGCCAAUGUAACUGGGUCACAGAGUACCUGGAGGGGAUCAAAGUGGAAGGAAAUGGAAAAGGUAGGAAGGGUCCAGGUUGUGCUGGGAUUUAAAUCCCAAUAACAGGACUAGGUGGCACAGUAGAUAGAACCCUGACCCAGUCAUCAGGAAGACUCUUCUUCCUGAGUUCAAAUCUGGUCUCAGACACUUAAUAGCUAUGUGACUCUAGCAAGUCAGUUAACCCUCUUUGCCUCAGUUUCCUUAUCUGUAAAAUGAGUUGGAGAAGGAAAUGGCAAACCACUCCAUUAUCUCUGACAAGACAACCCCAAAAGAGGAUGCAAAGAAUUGGACAUGACUGAAAAUGACUUAACAACAACAAAAAAUUGAUGAGAUUUAUUGAGUAGAUAGUGACAUGAUCACAUAUAUGCAUUAGGAAAAUAACUUUGACAGCUAAGUAUAAGAUAGUUUGGAAUGUAUGGAGACUUAAGGCAGGGUGACACAAGCAAAAGAGAAGAGUAGGAUUAUAGGGCAUAACUUAGAGAAAGAUCCAGCUAAGGAGACUGAGAAAGAACUAUCCUCUAGAUAGGGGGAGAACCAGAGAGAGUGAUGGCCUGAAAAUCUCUUCAGGAGGGGAGGGUUAUCAACAGUGUUCAAGGCUGAAGGGAGGUCAGGAAUGAAGAGGAUUAGGAAUAGGCCUUGAGAUCUCAUAAUUACAAGAUCAUUUGAAGAUAUGGAGAACAAUUUCAGCUAACUGAUGAGGUCAGAAGCCACUUUGCAGAAAGAAUAGAAAUGAGUAAUAAAAAAGGAAGGGGGACACCUGCUGUACA